AUUUGUCCUUCAUUGCCAUUUUAGCUAUUUCCUGAACUAGUAGAACUCUUCUAUUUGUCCUUGGGGCCUAUAAAUCACACCUACACGAGUUACUGUGUGACUACCAAAUUCUACCGUAACCCAAAUGGACACUAACUUUUAUUAGGCUAGAUAUUAUGCUAUCCUUCACAUACAGGGCCACACCUCCCCCUUUCUUUCCUUCCCUGUCUUUUCUAUAUAAAGAGUACCCUGGUAUUGCUAUGUCCC